rnacentral:rRNA from 1 species
UACGAAGGGGGCUAGCGUUGCUCGGAAUCACUGGGCGUAAAGGGUGCGUAGGCGGGUCUUUAAGUCAGGGGUGAAAUCCUGGAGCUCAACUCCAGAACUGCCUUUGAUACUGAAGAUCUUGAGUUCGGGAGAGGUGAGUGGAACUGCGAGUGUAGAGGUGAAAUUCGUAGAUAUUCGCAAGAACACCAGUGGCGAAGGCGGCUCACUGGCCCGGAACUGACGCUGAGGUGCGAAAGCGUGGGGAGCAAACAGGG